rnacentral:misc_RNA from 1 species
GAUGAAGAACGUAGCGAAAUGCGAUACGUAAUGUGAAUUGCAGAAUUCAGUGAAUCAUCGAGUCUUUGAACGCACAUUGCGCCCCCUGGUAUUCCGGGGGGCAUGCCUGUCCGAGCGUCAUUGCUGCCCUCAAGCACGGCUUGUGUGUUGUGCCUCCGUCCUCCUCCCGGGGGACGGGCCCGAAAGGCAGCGGCGGCACCGCGUCCGGUCCUCGAGCGUAUGGGGCUUCGUCACCCGCUCUUGUAGGCCCGGUCGGCGCUUGCCGACACAUCAAUCUUUUUUCCAGGUUGACCUCGGAUCAGGUAGGGAUACCCGCUGAACUUAAGCAUAUCAAUAAGCGGAGGA